UUCCUCAUAAAAAUCUUCGAUUUUCCCAGCUACUGCCACGCUCUGCUCCGGCUGCCUAGGAACCGGCGUCAAUGAGCCCGCAGGCGCUGGAUCCUGACCACCACCAACAAUCUAAAGGUCGAUGAGGCCUGGAGGCGUAGGAUUUGCGAGCGUGGAAGACGACGGCGGCGGCGAUGAGACAGCUCCACUAGGAAUACAACGGCGGUGGCUUCUUUGUUGUUUCUGUGGUGGAAGACCCACGCCUACGACACCGCGGCAGGGGGGAAAUCCCCUGCUCCCCCGCUCCCUCGCCGCAGCUGCCUCCUGCUCCGCCAACGCCACCGCGGCGGACGAUGAGAUGCCCUGCUGGCUCCCAACGGCGAUGUCAACCUCGACGGCGCGAGCUUCUGCUCGGGGGACGGCGUGGUUCAGCGACGACGAGAUCUUCCUCACCAAAUCGCCGACCAAAUCGUCGAGGAGAGCAAGUUCCUCAUCCACCGCACCGCCACCUCCUCUGCUCUCGUCCUUCCAGGUUCGGUUGGGUUCAGUUCGUGCAGGAGCAGGAGCACGCAGAAUCCUCCAAAUUGUCGCUUCCUAGAAGCUCAAGAUGGUGUUGUUCCCAAUUUGUGCAGGUCAGGAGAGCAGCAACGCACACGCAGCGCAGAUUUGUGCGUCUUCUCCAUGCAAUCUUGUUUACUUAAUCUUCAGCCUGGGCCAUCUCUGUCACCAACGCCUACAACCUGGGAACAUGAGCUCUGGCGGCAACACAAAGAAUUCAGUAAACACUAUUUUUGCAGAAUUGUUUUUUUUAGGAAUUAGUGACAGUGGGAGAGGCUCCCACUGACUUUGUAUUACUCACAACAUAACAGUUACAAGUGUGUUACAAUGGGUUUUAGGCCCCCCGGCCGUAAGGGUUGCAGAAACAAAAACUAGCGGUCCAAACUUACAAUGAAAUCAGAGAGAAAAGGAUACUUUUUUUUUUUUGCAGAAUUGUUGUUGUCAGUUAACUGAAACUACAGCACAUUCCAAUCAAUUGGCUGCAGUAAAGAACUGAAGAGAUGUUAGUUUUUCCCACAUUUUGGAAAGAACCAUGCACAAAGGAAACAAACACUUCAUCUGAUGGUGUACCUUCUUAAGCUAGCAGUACUCUGAUGGAGUACCUUCUUCAGAGGGCAAAUAGCACCAGCAGCAGCAGUCACGGCGGCAGUCAACAGCAACAACAGAGGAGCAGUAGCAUCAACACGAAUCAGCAACAGCAGCACAGGCAGAGGAGCAGUAGCAUCAACACGGGAAGAGGAGCAGGAGCAGCACGGGAGCUCCACCGGCGGCAGGGGAGAAACAGAGGAGAAACAAGAUGCAGCAGCACGGGCUAGCACCACAGGCGGGCACGCAGGCAGAGAAGGAGCACCACGGCGGC